rnacentral:tRNA from 1 species
GGCUCUGUAGCUCAGUUGGUUAGAGCACCAGUUUAGUAAAUUGGAGGUCGAGGGUUCAAAUCCCCCUGGAGCCU